rnacentral:rRNA from 1 species
UACGAAGGGUGCUAGCGUCGUUCGGAAUCACUGGGCGUAAAGCGCGCGUAGGCGGUGACACAAGUCAGGGGUGAAAUCCUGGGGCUCAACCUCAGAAUUGCCUUUGAAACUAGGUCGCUGGAGUGUCGGAGGGGAUAGCGGAAUUCCUAAUGUAGAGGUGAAAUUCGUAGAUAUUAGGAGGAACACCGGUGGCGAAGGCGGCUAUCUGGACGACAACUGACGCUGAGGCGCGAAAGCGUGGGGAUCAAACAGG